AAGGACUGUGUGACUACCAGGUUACCAAGAUGUUCUUUCUGUGACCUGGCCCAGCUCCAAACAACUGACUAUAUGAAAAAACAAACCCAUAGUGAGAUCCCAUCUCCAUCCAGCUGGAAGUGCCAAGGACUGUCAUCAAGAAAACAACAAAUGCUGGUUCCUCUCUGUUCCUAGUCCAGGCACAUGAGCUUCAUGCCCCAUUCUUGGUUGGGAGCUGGUCUCAAAGAAGAGGCCUCUGACUGCCUGGGAAUAGACCUUUUUACUACUACUGUCCAGAGAGAGGAUUCUGGGCCCAGAUACCUGGAGGAUGAC
rnacentral:lncRNA from 1 species